rnacentral:rRNA from 1 species
GAUGAACGCUGGCGGCGUGCCUAAUACAUGCAAGUCGAGCGAACAGACGAGGAGCUUGCUCCUCUGACGUUAGCGGCGGACGGGUGAGUAACACGUGGAUAACCUACCUAUAAGACUGGGAUAACUUCGGGAAACCGGAGCUAAUACCGGAUAAUAUAUUGAACCGCAUGGUUCAAUAGUGAAAGACGGUUUUGCUGUCACUUAUAGAUGGAUCCGCGCCGCAUUAGCUAGUUGGUAAGGUAACGGCUUACCAAGGCAACGAUGCGUAGCCGACCUGAGAGGGUGAUCGGCCACCCUGGAACUGAGACACGGUCCAGACUCCUACGGGAGGCAGCAGUAGGGAAUCUUCCGCAAUGGGCGAAAGCCUGACGGAGCAACGCCGCGUGAGUGAUGAAGGUCUUCGGAUCGUAAAACUCUGUUAUUAGGGAAGAACAAAUGUGUAAGUAACUAUGCACGUCUUGACGGUACCUAAUCAGAAAGCCACGGCUAACUACGUG